rnacentral:rRNA from 1 species
GACGAACGCUGGCGGCGUGCUUAACACAUGCAAGUCGAACGGAAAGGCCCUGCUUUUGUGGGUUGCUCGAGUGGCGAACGGGUGAGUAACACGUGAGUAACCUGCCCUUGACUUUGGGAUAACUUCAGGAAACUGGGGCUAAUACCGGAUAGGAGCUCCUGCUGCAUGGUGGGGGUUGGAAAGUUUCGGCGGUUGGGGAUGGACUCGCGGCUUAUCAGCUUGUUGGUGGGGUAGUGGCUUACCAAGGCUUUGACGGGUAGCCGGCCUGAGAGGGUGACCGGCCACAUUGGGACUGAGAUACGGCCCAGACUCCUACGGGAGGCAGCAGUGGGGAAUAUUGCACAAUGGGCGGAAGCCUGAUGCAGCAACGCCGCGUGCGGGAUGACGGCCUUCGGGUUGUAAACCGCUUUCGCCUGUGACGAAGAGUGAGUGACGGUAAUGGGUAAAGAAGCACCGGCUAACUACGUG